UACGUAGGGUGCAGGCGUUUAAUCGGAAUUACUGGGCGUAAAGCGUGCGCAGGCGGUUGGUUAAGUCUGAUGUGAAAGCCCCGGGCUCAACCUGGGAAUGGCAUUGGAAACUGGCUGGCUAGAGUGUGGCAGAGGGGGGUGGAAUUCCGCGUGUAGCAGUGAAAUGCGUAGAGAUGCGGAGGAACACCGAUGGCGAAGGCAGCCCCCUGGGCUAGCACUGACGCUCAGGCACGAAAGCGUGGGGAGCAAACAGG
rnacentral:rRNA from 1 species